rnacentral:rRNA from 1 species
GACGAACGCUGGCGGCGUGCUUAACACAUGCAAGUCGAACGGAAAGGCCCUGCUUUUGUGGGGUGCUCGAGUGGCGAACGGGUGAGUAACACGUGAGUAACCUGCCCUUGACUUUGGGAUAACUUCAGGAAACUGGGGCUAAUACCGGAUAGGAGCUCCUGCUGCAUGGUGGGGGUUGGAAAGUUUCGGCGGUUGGGGAUGGACUCGCGGCUUAUCAGCUUGUUGGUGGGGUAGUGGCUUACCAAGGCUUUGACGGGUAGCCGGCCUGAGAGGGUGACCGGCGACAUUGGGGGUGAGGUACGGGCCAGAGUGCUGCGGGGGGGAGAAGGGGGGGAUGUUGGGGAAUGGGGGGGAGCCGGGUGCAGCAACGCCGGGUGGGGGAUGGCGGGCUUCGGGGGGUAAACCGGUUUGGGCUGGGGCGAAGGGUGGGUGACGGUAAUGGGUGAAGAAGCACCGGGUAAGUACGUG